GUUUGAAUUAUCCCAGCUCACUUGGUAGAGCAUGAGAUUCUUAAUCUCUGGGUCGUGGGUUCGAGUCUCGCUUUGGGCA